rnacentral:SRP_RNA from 1 species
UCCAAUGGGCGUGGUGGCGCAUGCCUGUAGUCCCAGCUACUCAGGAGGCAGAGGCUGGAGAAUCUCUUGAGUCCAGGAGUUCUGGGCUGCAGUGCGCUAUGCCGAUCGGGUGUCCGAAAUAAGUUCGAUAUCAAUAUGGUGACCUCCCGGGAGCAGGGGACCACCAGAUUGCCUAAGGAGGGGUGAACCAGCCCAGGUCAGAAACGGAGGAGGUCAAAACUCCUGUGCUGAUCAGUAGUGGGAUCGUGCCUGUGAAUAGCCACUGCACUCCAGCCUGGGCAACAUAGGGAGACCCUGCAUCU